AAAUCGGAACGACUAAAUAGCCGACGUUGACAGCCGAUUGCGCCGACGUCAGAGCAAUUGGAGACCAAGCUGCAUACACAAACAUUCCACGGCACAAGUGCAUUGGCAAUACGUGAUGUCGACGCCGGCGCCGACUGCGAACGUCGACGAAACCACUUGUCAAAGUUUGCACUUAGAAAAAUUCUCCAAGUUAAAAUUGGAGCUCGAUACGAACGGACGUGUGUAGACGGCAAUUUGCGCGAUACAGCAUAUUUUCCUUUCCAACUCAAGUGUAUAUUAACCAAAUUUAGAAUUGUUGAAAAGCCAACAAUGUUUAAAGCGUUAUAAAAAAAUACUAGCUACUACUUCCUGCAAAAGUAUAAUAAAAUAAUUAAUUAAAAUUUCACUUUCAAAUACGUCAAAUAUUUGACAAUAAUAAAGUUCUCAAACGAAGUUGAAAUCGAAAAUUUCAUACUACAAAGAAUUUUUGUAUAAAUUUGUGCAGAUAUUGCAUUAAUCGAACCGAAAAAAAAUUGAAAAAUUUGUAACAAAAUUUAAGUGUAAAGCCACAAAAUUGCCAAAUGAAGUGAAUAAUCUAAGCGUGUGUGUGAAAAGUGAGAAAAUUUAGUAAUUGAAAAGUGCAAAAGCACAAUUGUUGUAGUUCAAAGCGUUGCAGAUACACGUAAACAGCAUCGUACAACAACAACAACAAUAACAGUAUUGACUAUUACAAGCAACAAUACGCAAUAGAAGUACCAAAUACGCGCGGCCCCAAAAAAGCGCUGGCAGCUAAUAAGAAAAGGCAGCGGCACCAGCAAUUAACAGUUGUGUAAUUUUCAUAUUCGUGAUUGUUACAGGGCUCUUUGAGAACGGUAAUCCUUCACGUAGUGCAGUGUUCAUUGGCAGUGAGUUAAAAAUCGUGCAAAGCGUGUAAAUUAAAUGAAUGUGUAGUGCAAUAAAUAAACAUAAAAGUGCACAAACAUAUCCCUACCCCAAUACCCCAAACAACCUGACCCAACAAGUGUAUUAGUUGAGGGCGCGCAUAGCUCUUACCGCCAUAACCCCAUCCCCAGAGUAACAGCGCAACGGCAUCCCACGCCCAAAAUAACCGUUGCAGCCCAACCAGCUGCAAUCAAACCAAUAACCGGCGUGUUAUAGCACCAAUCGUGCAACAAAUACAACACGCAUCCCCACCAAGUGGACGCUGUGUAC